UAUUGAAGGGUGGCCUGGCUGUAAGUUCUGUCACCCCACUGACUGCCAGGUUGAUCUGGUUGAUGCACCUGGUUAGAUGGGGUCCCCCUUUCGCCUUCUGCAUCCUGAGUCUACCUUCUGAAGCUGCACACUCGAUGAAGAGAACAGUGUUCUCUGAUAAGGAGGACCAUUCUUCUUGCUGUG
rnacentral:snRNA from 1 species